GGCAAACUUGUUCACUUGGCCAGGUGAAUGUUAAUGACUCUCAAAUCUUCCUCUCCAAUUCAGCGUGACAGGAAUCCCACUGCUCUGAGGAAAAGACGGCAAGCGGCAUCCCGGGCUGAGUUACCAACAACUAAUGGAAGAUAAACAAAUGAAACUGAGGAAGUCUGGAUGACAAACGAAAAAGAGGAGCUCUAAAUAGAGGAGCUCCCGCAGAAGACGGCGGAAGAAGCCACGUGUGGAACCGGGCGGCAGGAGGAUGCAAGCAGAGGGAGCAAGAAGAGGAAGCAGAAGACUGCGGCUGGGCUAAGGGAGAGGCGGCCUGGGCAAAAGCAUCUCCCUGUCACCAGGGGCAUAGUCAUGUCGCAGUAGAGCGUUGCCGGCACUUUAGGUGACCAGGCCGGCUUUGUGCUGGGCGACCUCCCUGUAAGCAGGGCUCGGGUCUUUGCUGUAGUUGGCCUUUUGCCUUGUUGCUCCUUUGGCUGCCUGGGGAAGGUGGGCCCCUGUAAGGAGGGCGAGAGCUGCUUUCUCCGCACCCGAGUGGGAAAUGGAGCUCGCUGGACCCCACGGGCACCCUGUAAGCAGGGUAGCGCCCUUCCCCUGCCACUGUUCCUCUGGCCGCUCAGCGCUGAUGCCUGCUGGUGGCCUGUCCGUGUGUUGGCCCUGUACUCGGGGCGUGUGUCACGCCACUUGGCCUUAAGUCACCUGGGAAUCCCCUUGGCGCGUUGAGGUCUGAGGCCUCCGUGCAGCCCCGGGGCGGGACAGAGGCUCUUGUCUGCUGCUCGUGGGUACGGGGUUUUAUUUCCCCAGGCCUUGGCUGCACUGCCUUCUCCUUCCGUUCUGGAAAGCCCUGUCUGUGUGGUUGUGUUCCCCUUCCUUCCCUUGUUUGCUUUUGUGUGUGUGACUGUGCGAUUGAAGUCUCCCCUUAGGCCUCCAUGACUAUGGCUGCAGCUUAGCUGUGGCUUCCCAGGGGGGAAUGGAGGACUCGGUGGAUGCAGCAAGGGGGAUGUUCCCUCUUAGCUCCGCGAGUGGUGCAAGUGUCCUUUUGUCUUGCCCCUUUUUUCCUAGGGCAGAACAGAGCUGUGUGGUAGUUGCGUGGCCAUGGCCGCCCUGUAUCCAGGGUUUGGGUCUGUGCCUGUGUGGCCCCCUGUCCUGCUGGCGACACGCCAGCGUGACAGCCCCGUACUCGGGGCGUGUGUCACAAACUGUGGAGCCCUCUGUCCCCGGAGCGGCCCGCCCCCCCUGUAAUCAGGUCUGGGGAGGCUGCGUUGGUGCAGCCGGCUGCUUUAGCCAGCUGGUGGGAGUGACCCCUCCCUGGCCCGUUAGAGGGUGCAGGUUGAGGUGCUACUUGUGGCUGGGGCGACUUCCCCGCUGUGUGGGUAGAGGUUGUUCCCUGGGCUCCUGAAGACGUGGUGAUGAUUGUGCUGCGGCCGGGCGGGCCCGCCUGUACCUCGGGCGUUGGCAGGAGCUGCGUGCUCCGUGGGGCUUUUGGACGUGGUGCGGCGUGGGGUACCGUCCUGUAGUCAGGGCUGUGCGUGCCCCCUGCGCUUAGGAGGAUGAGUUCUGAGAGACCCCCUGUACUCAGGUGGGUACCUUCGGCCCGGCCUUUCAGAGGCGUGGUGCUGAG
ensembl:lncRNA